UACGUAGGUGGCAAGCGUUGUUCGGAAUUAUUGGGCGUAAAGGGCGCGUAGGCGGUUUGUUAAGUCAGCUGUGAAAGCCCGGGGCUCAACCCGGAGGGUCAGCUGAUACUGGCAGACUAGAGUACAGAAGAGGUAACUGGAAUUCCCGGUGUAGCGGUGAAAUGCGCAGAUAUCAGGAGGAACACCGAUGGCGAAGGCAGAUCUCUGGGCCGUAACUGACGCUGAGGAGCGAAAGCAUGGGGAGCGAAACAGG
rnacentral:rRNA from 1 species